rnacentral:sRNA from 1 species
CUCCUCCAGGGUUUUGACGAGCCUACCCUCUUGACUUAACAUUCUGCUUAGGCCUUUGACUUGGAUUUGGGCCUUGGGCCAAGCAAGCCCAAAUCUAACCCCUAACAG